rnacentral:rRNA from 1 species
GAUGAACGCUGGCGGCGUGCCUAAUACAUGCAAGUCGAGCGAACAGACGAGGAGCUUGCUCCUCUGACGUUAGCGGCGGACGGGUGAGUAACACGUGGAUAACCUACCUAUAAGACUGGGAUAACUUCGGGAAACCGGAGCUAAUACCGGAUAAUAUAUUGAACCGCAUGGUUCAAUAGUGAAAGACGGUUUUGCUGUCACUUAUAGAUGGAUCCGCGCCGCAUUAGCUAGUUGGUAAGGUAACGGCUUACCAAGGCAACGAUGCGUAGCCGACCUGAGAGGGUGAUCGGCCACACUGGAACUGAGCCACGGUCCAGACUCCUACGGGAGGCAGCAGUAGGGAAUCUUCCGCAAUGGGCGAAAGCCUGACGGAGCAACGCCGCGUGAGUGAUGAAGGUCUUCGGAUCGUAAAACUCUUUUAUUAGGGAAGAACAAAUGUGUAAGUAACUAUGCACGUCUUGACGGUACCUAAUCAGAAAGCCCCGGCUAACUACGUG